ACCAGCAUGAUCACAGAGGAACCUCAAAAUAAUAGGAAAAUAAUAGGAAUAACAUGUCCUGCUAUAAUAUUGCCAGCAAUCAAUAGUUUGUUUGUUUAAAGGGGUGGACAAAAAACAUUUCCUCUCAGAAUAGUGGAGCCUGCUAUGCCACCAGGUACACUACUGCUACUGGUAUGUUUUGCAAGCAUGUAUGGGUAUGAGGUCCAAACAUUUUGAAUUGUACCACAGUAGGCAGUGGAUUCGUUUUUCAAUUGAUUUUCAAUAUACAUACAAAUAACCUCUUUUGCUUUGCAGUAAUGAUUAGUGUUUUUUGUGGGCACUAUAAAUAAAAGCCUAAAAGCUUGGACAUGAAAUAGAUUUCGUCUGAAUGACUUACUACCCUUGGAAAUAAAGAGGCAUGUUACCUAUAUUCAUCUUUGUUCGUAUUCCCAGCGUAGUUUUCAACUAGUUCUGGAAUAAAAACCUCCAUCAAAGUCUGUGGAAAAAAGUAGAAGACCACGUGUGGAUAGUCUCACAUAUUACGCACACAUGCAGGCAUGCACUCAUGCAUAUGCAUAUAUAUAUAUAUGUGUGUGUUUUUAAGCUAGGUGACGAUGUUGGCCACUGUAGAAUCAUCUAGGACCUGCAACUAAACCUUUGGUGAAAUGUGAGGUUUCCAGUGCUAGAGGAUGCAAAGCAACCCCAGAGCAUCACAGAGUCAGCACCAUGCUUGACUAUAGGCAGAGUGUUCUUUUCAUCGUCCGCUUCAUUCUUCUUCCUUCAGCAUAUCACUGAUCCAUCGGGCCGAAAAGUUCUAGUUUUGCCACAGAACAGAAUCCCAAAAUGUCUAGGACUGGUACUGGUUCUUAGAAAUCUGGUUACGUAGUGUAACCAAUGUUCCUUUAACACUGAACUUGCAAACUAUGUCUCUAGAUCUAUGUCUCAGAGGCGCUUCCAGAAGUGUCAGUGUGUAUCCUAUUCUUGAAGAUGUUUGUUGCAGUGUACACUAAACUAUGCUCAUGACGCUCAGAUAUCUAUGUCUAUGUGAUAUCCAUAUCACAGUCUAAUCUAUUUCAUCUGAUCAAUAAAUAUAUUAUUUAUUCAGCAUCAAGACACUAUCACUAUCAGGAAAAGGGGGUUAAUA